UACGUAGGGGGCAAGCGUUGUCCGGAUUUAUUGGGCGUAAAGCGCUCGCAGGCGGUUCGUCGCGUCGUGCGUGAAAGACCCCGGCUCAACUGGGGGAGGUCGAGCGAUACGGGCGAACUGGAGGCCAGUAGGGGGAUGCGGAAUUCCGGGUGUAGUGGUGGAAUGCGUAGAGAUCCGGAGGAACACCAGCGGCGAAGGCGGCAUCCUGGACUGGGCCUGACACUCAUGAGCGAAAGCGUGGGGAGCGAUCCGG
rnacentral:rRNA from 1 species